UUGGAGGGCAAGUCUGGUGCCAGCAGCCGCGGUAAUUCCAGCUCCAAUAGCGUAUAUUAAAGUUGUUGCAGUUAAAAAGCUCGUAGUUGAAUUUCGGGAUUGACACAUCGGUCGUGCCUUAAGGGGUAUGAACUGGUGUAGUCAGUUUCUCACCUUCUGGAGUACCGCGAUGUCCUUAAUUGGGUGCCGCGAGGAACCAGGACCUUUACUUUGAAAAAAUUAGAGUGUUUAAAGCAGGCAUUUUGCUUGAAUACAUUAGCAUGGAAUAAUAAAAUAGGACGGAUGGUUCUAUUUUGUUGGUUUCUAGGAUCACCGUAAUGAUUAAUAGGGAUAGUUGGGGGCAUUAGUAUUCAAUUGUCAGAGGUGAAAUUCUUGGAUUUAUUGAAGACUAACUACUGCGAAAGCAUUUGCCAAGGAUGUUUUCAUUAAUCAAGAACGAAAGUUAGGGGAUCGAAGACGAUCAGAUACCGUCGUAGUCUUAACCAUAAACUAUGCCGACUAGGAAUCAGACGAUGUUAAUUUUUUAAUGACUCGUUCGGCGCCUUACGGGAAAC
rnacentral:rRNA from 1 species